GCUCCAGGGAUGGGGAAACCAAGUCACAAGAAAGGUACUGGCUAAGCAAACGUACCCAAUAGCCAUAUGUCUUAAGGCACUAACUGAGCUUAAAUAGCUGAAGUUACCACUCGGUGUCUUCCUAACCAUCCUGUUCAGACAGCUCAUAGUGCUCCACAUUGUGAUGUUGCAUCUUCAUCUUCAGCAGACAAGUUCAAAGCUCCAGCAGCGAAUAGCUAUGCGUAUCCUUUGCAUACUCUCUCACUGGCUCUCAGUUGUUACCUCUGCUGGAGCAUCCACACAGGGCUAGCUAUUUUUUGGCUGUUAUUCACAUCUCCAACGAGUAGACUCUGAACUCUACCUGACUGUGCUCUUCCUCCUGCAUUCCCUCUGCCUGAGAGCCCACACAUCCUCUGCUUAAAGGCCAGGAAGAAGCUGGGACGAAGGCUGCUGUUUCCCUGCCCCGCCUGUGGGGCCGAGGCUCGGCUCGAGGAAAGCAGCCGCGCUGCGCUGAGGGGAGCUGGGCUGGCGGGAAGCUUUCGGAAGCCGCGUCGGGAGCGAGCCACGAGGCAGGGCCAGCGCGGGGUGCCUGAGGGUGAACGCAGCUCUGCGGCAGGGCUGGACAACACAGAGGCCUUCCCUCAGCUGAGAAAAGAGAAGCUGUCCCUCAGGUGGCAAGAGAGGAGCCUUCCUUCAGCUUUGAUGAGGAUUUCAUCCCAUUCUUACUCCAUGAUCCUUCAGACAGAACAAAUAAUUUAUGAACAGAAUGAAAUGAAAAUGCAUCCAGGAGUUUUAUAAUACAGUAAAAUGUACUAGAACUGGCAGGCUCAAAAAUAAAGGUAUGCAGACUAAGAUCCUUAAGUAUUAU
rnacentral:lncRNA from 1 species